AUGAAAAGUAUAUACUUCCUCCCAGCCCCUAGAUCAUUCAGAACAUUUCAUUGGACAGUACGUGGCACCAGCCUGCCAUUUUUGAGUGCAUCACAGGGCUUGUUGCUAUUAUUUAUCUUGUUCUUAUCACGUUGGUAUUUAAACAUCUUAUCGCUGUACAGGAGAGAAAAGGUCCUGUUCUGCGGGCUGUGUUUUUCAACCAGUGAUUCAGGAGUACUGAUACACUUGCUCUGUUUUGAGCUGCACUCACAUUUCUGCUGGGAGGCAACAACAAGGAAAACACAGGUUCCUGACUUCAUUCAACCGAGGAGGGCGACCAUUUCUGCGAUGCCACUGACACGAGGCUCCACAGGUUCAGGGGUUUGUCGUUCACCCCCGUGUCCCCGUGCCCAACACAGGGCUUGGCACACGGAAUUAAAACUCAACCCUCCUCGGGGCAAAAAGAACACACCUCCGUGGAAGUGGAGUGAUCAUCAAGCUGGGAUAGAGGAGGUUUGUGGCAGUGAGUCUCGAACUUUAGUGAGGAUAUGA
rnacentral:lncRNA from 1 species